rnacentral:rRNA from 1 species
AUUGAACGCUGGCGGCAUGCUUUACACAUGCAAGUCGGACGAGUGGCGGACGGGUGAGUAAUAUAUUGGAAACUGUCUAGUAGUGGGGGAUAACCACUCGAAAGAUUAGCUAAUACCGCAUACUAUUGGAGCGGCCAAUAUCUGAUUAGCUAGUUGGUGGGGUAAAGGCCUACCAAGGCGACGAUCACUAGCGGGUCUGAGAGGAUGAUCCGCCACACUGGGACUGAGACACGGGCCAGACUCCUACGGGAGGCAGCAGUGGGGAAUUUUGGACAAUGGGCGCAAGCCUGAUCCAGCCAUGCCGGGUGUCUGAAGAAGGCCUUCGGGUUGUAAAGGACUUUGGUUAGGGAAGCGGUACUCAAAGAAGAAGCACCGGCUAACUCCGUGCCAGCAGCCGCGGUAAUUC